ACGGCUCAGUAACACGUGGACAACCUACCCUUGGGUCUGGCAUAAUCCUGGGAAACUGGGUAUAAUUCCAGAUAGGUCACAGAUGCUGGAAUGCACUGUGGCCGAAAGCUCCGGCGCCCAAGGAUGGGUCUGCGGCCUAUCAGGGUUGUAGUGGGUGUAACGGACCUACUAGCCUACGACGGGUACGGGUUGUGAGAGCAAGAGCCCGGAGAUGGAUUCUGAGACACGAAUCCAGGCCCUACGGGGUGCAGCAGGCGCGAAAACUUUACAAUGCGGGAAACCGUGAUAAGGGAAUCUCGAGUGCCAGCAUAUAAUGUUGGCUGUCCAGAUGCCUAAAAAGCAUCUGUUAGCAAGGGCCGGGCAAGACCGGUGCCAGCCGCCGCGGUAACGCCGGCGGCCCGAGUGGUAACCGCUUUUAUUGGGUCUAAAGGGUCUGUAGCCGGCCAAGUAAGUCCCUUGGGAAAUCUGGCAGCUUAACCGUCAGGCUGCUAGGGGAUACUGCUAGGCUUGGGACCGGGAGAGGUGAGAGGUACCUUGGGGGUAGGGGUGAAAUCUUGUGAUCCUCGGGGGACCACCAGUGGCGAAGGCGUCUCACCAGAACGGGUCCGACGGUAAGGGACGAAAGCUAGGGGCACGAACCGGAUUAGAUACCCGGGUAGUCCUAGCCGUAAACGAUGCUCGCUAGGUGUCAGUCACGGUGCGACCGUGAUUGGUGCCGUAGGGAAGCCGUGAAGCGAGCCACCUGGGAAGUAUGGCCGCAAGGCUGAAACUUAAAGGAAUUGGCGGGGGAGCAC
rnacentral:rRNA from 1 species